rnacentral:rRNA from 1 species
UACGGGGGGAGCAAACGUUGUUCGGAAUUACUGGGCGUAAAGGGCGCGUAGGCGGUCCUGUAAGUGGUGUGUGAAAUCCGAUGGCUCAACCAUCGAGCUGCGCUCCAUACUGCAGGACUUGAGUACAGCAGAGGAAAGUGGAAUUCCCGGUGUAGCGGUGAAAUGCGUAGAUAUCGGGAGGAAUACCGGUGGCGAAGGCGGCAUCCUGGACCAUUACUGACGCUGAGGCGCGAAAGCUAGGGGAGCAAACGGG